AGGCCCUCGGGGGCCUCGUGGGCGUCACCAGCUCCCGCCUGGGCUCCAUGAAGACCCGGUUCGAGGGGCUGUGCCUGCUGUCGCUGCUGGUGAGCGAGAGC